rnacentral:lncRNA from 1 species
CAUGGCACUCACCAGUGCCCUACUUGUUCGGAGGCUUGGCAGCCAUGUUAGGCCUGAUUGCUUUUGCUCUCCUUAUUCUGGCUUGCUCUUACUGGAAGCUCUCGGGAUCUCUCGACAGUGGCGAAGCCGACUCCGAAAGAGAUCUCGAGGCAGGCGGUGAUGACGCCAGUGACAAGAAACCAGCUCCCGUUUAUGAAGAAAAGUUUCUAGUCAUAAUGGCUGGACAAGAAAAGCCAACCUACUUGGCCACACCCAAGUCCAGCACCAGCCGAACAUCAUCUUUUGGCAGCACUGCUAGUGAUAGCAACACGAGUUGUAGCAGUGACACGACUUUAUCGGCGGAAAAAUCGGACGAUGAAUCGAUGGUUCCUGUAAGUUCUUUUGGUCAGGUAGAAAUGAGGACCAUUAUGGGGGACCAUGAGGCCACGGACCGGGCAGCUUCUAAUUGAUAAAUCGACAUUUCAGGCGUUUUGAUUGAUUAAAUUAGGGGAGUUUGAUCUUUUAGGUGAUUCAUUUGUUUUGGAGUUUCACGUGAUCAUUCGGGAAUGUAAAUAUAAUUUUGAGGAUGAAAUGAAAAGAAUCAACUCUUCGUCAAUCUACGUGAUCAAUGUCGGAGACAUAAAUGUGUCGGUUUCUAUGUGUGCGGUUGGUCUCAAAUGAGAUCACUAUAAGCGAUUAAGCGAGCUUAUCUUCAGCAUUAUUUUAAAAUUCGACCAGUUCAUAAACAAACGAGUUUAAGCCUGAAGGACUCGAAGUGAACAUAAUUACAUAUACUCGUAAUUAAUACAGAAGAGAAUUGAUACUUGUCGUGCAUGAAUAAUUUCACUUAACCCUUGUAAUGAUGUGCUAGUUAAUUAAAAAUCUGUUUUAGUUGCCUUUUUUAUAUCUUAUUAGUUAUUAGCAUUUCUACUAAAAUAUAUUUCAUUAUUAUUUUAUAUUAUACUAUUUUUUAAAGGGUUUUUCUAGUGUGUUCCUAUGGGUACACACUAACUACUUUUUGUUGAGAUGGAGGGCUUUUACUGGUCAUGUUUUUUAUGCAUUUGCAGGGGUUAUGAUAAUUAAUGAGGUUUUGGCUAAUAAAAGUCUUCCACUUAAAUAAAAAAUGGUUAUUAGUGUGUACUCACUAGAGAAUCUGUUUUUCAAAAACUUAUAUUAAACUACUUUUUGCAGUGGUGAGAAAUCAGAAUAUAUACUCUGACACGCCAAUCAUAUAAAGUUCUUUAAGCCGGGGGGUGUUUGUUUACAAAGAAGCUGGGGCUGCUUCUGAUUUCUGUUUUUUUUGCCCGUUUGUGUAAAGAAGUAGAAGCACUUUUAAGAAGCUGAGAAUGUUAUAGUUUCUCUGUCACAGCUUCUGCUUCUUUUCCAAACACUUUAUUAACUUAUUUACUUCUCACUUCUGCUCCACUUCUUUAUUAUAAAUAAGAAGUCACUUCUUUUAGCUAACACAAACAGCCCUUAUAUAUGCGGUACAAUGAAUCAAAGAGAAAUGAUAAAAAUGUCCUAUUUCACUAGCUUAUUUUCCAUCUUUUCCUCUUCUUUCUAGUACAUGUAUAUGAAUAACAUUUAAUCUCUCGAACGCACUGCAUAGGUUCACAUUUCACAAAUAUUUCAUUCUAAUUAGCUAGACUAAGUUUCUUCUAUCAGGAUCAUCCACACAGUGACCGAUGAAUUCAUUAACACGGCAGUGACAUCAAGCAAGAAAAUAUUUAUAGUGCUUUUGAACUGUAUUUUGAAUGAAAUAAGUAUAAAAAAUUGUUCUGCUAUAAUUGUUCUCAUUUUUCUCACAAAUAAUUUAUCAUUUUUUUCAUAAAUAAAUUGUUCUCACUUAAAUCAGUAUUUAUAUAAUAAUAUAUGGAUGGCAUAACGGAUAUACAGAUAUUUGUAUCGUAUAUAAAUAUAAUUCAUAAUUAAAGCUCGGGAAUUUUACCUUGCUAAUUAUCUAAUGAUCAUGCAUGAUGCAUUCAUAAGUUAAAUAAACAAUGCGGAGUGUGUCGGUUCUCCGAGCACUAUGGUAUAUUUUUAAAUUUUCACUUAAUUAUAUUAGUCAGAAGAAAAAACGAAUUUAUUUGGUUCCAAAACACUCAAUUUUAAAUACAAACUAAAGUAUAUGCAGUGUACAGGUUUUCCAAUCAAUAGAUCUUGUAUAUAAAGAUUAAGGCUAGGAUUAAAGCUAGGUUGAAGUAAUGUACACAUUUAAGCAUAGAACAUAUCCUAAACUCGCACCUCCUUUUCCUCUCCUUUAUUCUUUGCUUUCCUCAACAGUAGUUCCCCCUGUUUCUUCAGAUUCCAACAUCGCCAAUAUGGUGCUUUCUUUAUAUAAAUACUUUAAUACUUUGCAAAAAGAUAUAUGAAUGCUGCUUUACAAGUUACAUACAUUAUACAUACAUAUAAAAAUAUAUAUAAAUAUUUAAGUUAGGCCCUACUCCCUCAAAUUAUAUUCUUUAUACUUUGUUUUAUACCUCCACGUACGUACUCUUCAUGAUUUCAAGUACGCAAAUUUUAAGUUUAUAAAUGAUAUAAGAAUAAGAUGACAUAUUAUAAGUUCUAUAUUUAUAUAAUCUCAUCAUGCCCGGUCGUGUAAAAUUAUGCAUAUGCUAAAUAUAUAUAUCGAUAAUUUUAGAGUAAAUUAUAUAGUGCUGAUCAUGCUUUUCACUAAAUUUAAAAAAAAUGACCGAAUUUUCAAAUUUAUAAAUUAUUGAUCACAUUUUACUUCCUUCUUAAAAAAUGGCUUAUGCUGAUUUGUAAAAUGAAAAUGAACCAUUAUUUUGAAAGAUUAAAGUAAAAUGUGGUCAUCAUUUUAGAAAAUAAUUAACAAAUAAUUGAUAAAUAUUAUUAUUUUAAAAUAUAAAAACUAAAACUGACCACUAAUUUGUAAAUUCGAAAUUUUGACCGCUCUUUUAAGAUUCGAUGUAGAACACGACGACGGUCAUCUUUUAAUUUAUCCACAAUUUUCCUUCUGAAAAUUCUAAUUUCAUCAAUGCCAAAUGGUGUCCCCUGCAGCCUGCAGAGUGAUACAUCCAUCCGAUUCAUUAUAGCAAUAACCUCCAGCUCCUAUCCCAAUUUUUCACCUAUAGAAAAUAAAUAGUGAAGCUUUAAAAUUGAAAGUUGCUUGAGAAGUGACAGCAGCCACAAAAGCAGCAAAUAGUAUAGUGGUGGCAACCCCCAUUGUUAAGCUAACAAAAACAAUCAGGUUGUGGCCUUGUGGACAUCCCACUUAAAGAAAAUUAAUAUUAUAAACUUAGUACUAACUAAUAUGAUUAGAAUAUGGAAAUAUAUGUUCCCCGUAGAUUCCCACGGAGAUUUGUCCUUGAUCUUAUUUGUAAUCUUAUCUCUGUGAAGAAUCCAUUUAUAAACCCGGAUUUGAUACUCCAUAUAUGCUUAAUUUUCUAUGAUUAGACUGGAACACCUGGGGCGCCACAAGUUUAAUUGCCAAUUCUUAUAAUUUCACACUAACUCUAAUCUGAUUUAAUUAAUAUUGACAUUAAUAUAAUGUUAAAGAAUCUAUUCACCAUUUUUCAUAAUCCAAAAAAAGUUUCCCAAUAACCUCUUGGCUAAAACUCCUUUCGAGAGGUGAUUUGUUAGAGCAUCUCCAACCAUCUAAAACCCUAGGCUAAAAAGUGAAUUGACAUACCUAAAAUAAAAAAAUUUAGCCAACAGCUCCAUAAACUCAACUCCAAUCAUGCUCACCUUUUGUCUAUAAAUUUAGCCAACCUCCUAUGGAUGGCUAAAUUUGUCGAACCUUUACAAGUCUGUAAGAAAAUCUGUAGGAAGAUUGCACAUCAUUUAUUACCAUAUUGAAUUGAUAUAUUCUAUUUUAACAAUUUAAAAUAUUAAUAACAUACUAUUUUUAAAUUAUAGCCAACCAAUAUAGCCAGUACCAUUGAAGCAAAAUGUCUUAUAGGUUCAACAAAUUUUACAUAAUGUCUUACAGGUCCAAUUUAGCCAACGAUUAUAGCCAACGCCGUUGAAGAUGCUCUUAGGCGUCACUUUCACAACCUUGGCAAUUAUAUCUCUAGUACGAUGCAGAAAUAAUUGGACAGGCGGUACAGAAAUAAAUUUAAAACGAAUGAGCAUCGCUAGAUGCAAAGAAACAAUUAGUAUAAGCUAGCUAGUGGGAUUCGGUAACAUGACUCACGUUGCAUUAGCAAUCUUCUAGUAGUGCUUAAUUGGCAGUUAACUAUAACUUCCUUUCGAGAUUGUGAACCGUACGCUACAAGCUGAGUAAAAUUGAACGAUAUUGAUAUUGAAGGACGACUGAGUUCUCGAAUUUUAGUCCUGUCAUAGUGUCAUUGAAUGAUAAUUAAAUUUAGUCGGUUGUGCAUAGAAUUGAAAAUGUUGCAAUAAUUUACAACAGUAACAUUGAGUAUUCUCUCCGUCCCUCUGAAAUGUAUACAUAUGGAUUGGAUACGGAGAUUAAGAAAAGUGUAUAAAGUAAUGUAAGGAGAAAGAGAAAGAAAAAUGGGUAAAGUGGCGGGACCCAUCAAUAUAUAAUUGAUAGAUUUAGAAAAGUAGUUGAAAGUAGUGUUUGAAUGAGAUUUUUAUAUUAUAAAAAUUUACUAUCUUAAGAAAGUUUUGAAAUGUAUAGAAUUAAAUGGGAUAUCCAAAAAAGAAAAAUUUAUAGAAUUAAAUGGGACGGAGAGAGUAUUAUUUUAAGUGUGUUUUGUGUAAUUGUGGCUGCAGAUCUUUUGAGGAUAUACAGUGCAUGUACGGUUGUCCCUCUACUUUUGAGGCGAUGAUGGUAAUGCCGACUGGCGAGUGGGAGCCCUUUGCUUUCGUUUCUGGGACAGUCCAAUAGUUUUUACAGAUAAGCACGAAUCACUCGUGUCCUAAAAUAAUAAUAAUUUUGAUUUUUUAUACGUAUUUUGAGAUGUGGAAAAAAUAUAGAUUAUUGUUUGGAUUUUUGUUAAAUAAAAAUUAUCCUCUGCUCUUAUUUAGCAGCACGGAAUGUUUGAAACAAUAUCUAAAGAAUGGACACCCAAACCUAACUCACUUCUACAUCAAAACACAAACUCCACGCAUCAGCUUCACAGCCGUUACAGUUAUCCAACUGACUUCAUAUUGUUUUGUAAUUAAACCCUUCGAUGAUUUUUUUUUAAUUACAAGAACGUGAUCAGUUCCUGAACAAAGCUAUGAAGAGCUCCACUUUCGAUCCCAUAAACAAGUUAGUACUAUUAGUUUCUCUAAAAAGUAACGCACGUAUAUUUAUAAUUCCCAUUCUAACCCCACCGAGUUUUGUGGAUUAUGUUUCACACAACUUGUCCAUUAUGUAAACAUGAACUGUAUGCAAUACUGUCCUUAAACCUCAGUGACGUUUCAAAAGGGUCGCACCGUACUUGCAUUUCUCUCGCAAAGCAUCAUAACUGCAAUAAUACUCUCCCACAGUUUCAAGUUUUUUCUUUUGCUACUUUUACUAAGUGCGUUUUAUCUGUACACUAAGAUCAGAUUUCAUCAUUAUAUUAUUAUAUAUAUACAAACACACCAGUAGUGCUUCCUGGGACAUGCAUAUGACGACAUUCAUUAACAUGCCCACCCGAAAACCCUAAUCACGUUAUUCGGUUUUACUUAAUUAUUCCCUAAUCCCCUUCUUUCUAUAAAUAACACCUCGCAUUUGCUCACUUAACCCGCCAUCUCCUUAUUCACCUGCUAAAUCAAUCUCUCUCUCUCUAUCUAUCUCUCUCUCUCUCUCUCUCUAUACAUUAAAAGAUAUGACGGCAGUGGCAAAUGCACCCUUGACGAUGCCAGUACAGAAAUCACCAUGGCACUCACCAGUUCCCUACUUGUUCGGAGGCUUGGCAGCCAUGUUAGGCCUAAUCGCUUUUGCUCUCCUUAUUCUAGCUUGCUCCUACUGGAAGCUCUCGGGAUCUCUCGACAGUGGCGAAGCCGACUCCGAAAGAGACCUCGAGGCAGGCGGUGAUGACGCCAAAGACAAGAAACCAGCUCCCGUUUAUGAAGAAAAAUUUCUAGUGAUAAUGGCUGGACAAGAAAAACCAACCUACCUGGCCACACCCAAGUCCAGCACCAGCCGAACAUCAUCUUUUGGCAGCACUACUAGUGAAAGCAACACGAGUACUUGUAGCAGUAACGAGAUGUGUUGUACUUUUGUGGUACAGACGAGUAGUCAAGUAUUGAACCGUGAUGUC